rnacentral:tRNA from 1 species
GCGCCUGUAGCUCAGCGGAUAGAGCGCUUGCCUCCGAAGCAAGAGGCCACUGGUUCGAUCCCAGUCAGGCGCAC